UUUUUUUUUUCUUUCUUUUUCAGCCGCACGUGGGGCAUAUGGAUCAAACCUAAGUCUCUGUUGCAAACUAUGCUACAGCCAUGGCAAUGCUGCAUCUUUAAUCCACUGUGCCACAGUGGAAACUCUGAUAUGUCAGUUUUUCAUUUUUUCUCUUCUAUCACUUUUCUUUCUAACGUUCUUCCCCUGAACAUUCUGGAAUGCUCAAGCUCCACUCAUCUUCCAAACGUACAGAAGAAUGAAAUGUUACACACACACAUAUAUACACAUAGACUGUAUGUACUCAAAUUCCAACAGAAAAGUUUCUGAACUCUUCACAGGCACUAUUCUAUUUGUAUCUUCCCCUACAAUGUGAAAAAUUCUGUUUAAUUUGUAUGUGUUUUUCCAUGUGCUUACCUUCUGCUAUAAUCUGCCAUCAACCAAGUCCAUUCUUUUGUUAUUUUGUGAUCUUAUGCCCUCCAAUAGAAACUCUGAUCUAAUAGCUUCUCAAGUUUCAUUAUUCCUCCUCUAUAGAAUUUAGCAAGCCUAUGAAGGUUCGAAAUCAUGUCUUUUUUGAUAUUCCAUGAUCUAUGGUACGGCCGAAGGAUCGUGGGUUUAGGAGUCAAAGAAAAUUAGUUUUAACCAUAACUUCAUCAUUACAUAGCAGGACUCAUAUAACAUCUAACUCAGGAGUUGCUGUGAGGUUAAAAUCACAUAAAUAAAUCUCCAAAGAAGACCCUUGUUCAGGAUUUACACAGAAAAAAACACUUCCCUUGUAUUGGGCUCUUUUGUAAGUAAUUAAAAUUGUAUAAAACCAUUUAUGUUCAUUGUUACUCUAUGAUGUAAUAAUUAUUCAUGCAAUGGCCUCAGUCUACCUUCCUGGUUCUUGAAGUUCUAGUUCCUGUCCCUACAAACUAUUUGUUUUUACUUUUAAAUAACUCUGUGUUAUUUGUAUUAUUAUUUAUGUACAUUUCACACUGCUUAGAAAGCCCAGUUAUCUCUGUCAUGUAGAAAACCCAUAUCUUCAUGUGCUUUUCAAUUAAAACAUGAGGAGAAUUAACUUAUCCUACUUCUUUUUUUGAAGUGCUCAUAUAUUUUAUUUAUACAUAUUUCUAUUAUGAUAGAGUUGUUUUAUAAUUAUUUAUCUUGGAUCUAGACUUUACCAUGGAAUUUGAUCUCCUGGAGCACUGUAUCAAUAUUUGUCAAUAUUUUAUUAUCUUCUGACUCUCCCUUCCACUUCUUCCCACAGUCUCACCAUGUGUUUUAUAAGAUAGUAGCUCAUAAUUAUCCUUCAAAUAGUGGAUAAGCCAAGACAGUGUUAUGCUCAGUGAAAUGUCAGACAGAGAAAGACAUAUACUGUAUGACUUCACUUAUAUAUGGAAUCCAAACAGCAAAGCAAAUGAACCAACAAAACAGAAGAGAAAGACUCAUAGACACAGAUAACAACCUGGUAGUUGUCACAACACUCCUGGGAGGGUGGUGGGGGGAUGGGGGAAAUAGGUGAAGGAGAUUACGAGGUAAAAACUUCAAGCUAUAAAAUAAAUGUCAUGGUGAUGUAAUAUACAGCAUAGGGAAUAUAGUCAAUAAUAUUGUAAUAAUUGUAUGGUGACAGAUGUAACUAGACUUAUUGUGGAGAUCAUUUCAUAAUGUAUAAAAAUAUUAAAUCACAUUAUACAACUGAAACUAAUAUAAUAUUCUAUGUCAAUUAAAUUCAAUAAAAACAAAAUAAAAUGCAUGACUAUAUAGUAUCUGUCCUCUACUCUAAAUAUCACAAAAUGGAUGAUUAAAUCAUUUAUAACUAGAAAUAAAUAAAAAGUAAUGAAAAUAUCUAGUAACUUCUUGUGCUGAUACAGACUUAAUAGGUAGGAUAUGCAACAUCUCCUACCCAUAGGCAGCCACAAAGUAUGACUUUCUAGUGGCAAUAAAGGGAAUGUAUACAUAUAUACUAAAAACAUUGAUUGAAAACAACCAAAACCUCCAACACAAAAAGUCUUUAACAUAUUACAAAUAUAUAUAUAAUCAUGAUAUAUGUAUAUAUAAUAUAUAUAUAUAUUUCUUCACAUAGCAAGUCAAAACCCUUAAAUUUUUUUUGCAUACUUGCUGAAAAUCUCAAAUAUGAGCAAUAUAUGGAGGAUGGACUAUGAUUCAUGUUAAAGUUCAGUGAGUGGAAUAUUAAAUUAAAUAUGCAGACAUCCUGUGUUUACAUAGUAUUAGCAUACGGUGCCAAUAAACAUACAAUUAUCCACAACAAAUACAGAUAUUUUAGAAAAUCUCAACAAAUCAAAAAAGCUAUAAAACUCUUCUCGUGAUCACCUACACCAUCUUUCAAGACCAUUUGCUUACUUAUUAGAAUCCAUUUCAUUAUAUCAAAUUCCUCUAUCUCUCUGAAAGGAGAUCUGACCUCAGGUUGGGUUAAAAGAAAAGCAGACGCUAUUCCCCAGUCAGUUUUUCUUUGAGAAGGUGAAGAUGGUUUACAAAUGUUUUUGUCACUUAAAUAGUAAUCCUCAAAUCAAUCCUAUUUCUCUAUAGUAAGGCAAAUCUUGGAAAAGCAAAUCAAAAAAGUCAGUUAUUUUAAGGCAGUUACAUGCCCUUCUUAUGUCUUAAAUAUAACUAGCAAUUUCUGAGACAUUUCAGAAGCAAAAGUUUUUAAAUAAGCACAGUAGCCUUUUCAGUUUUUAGUAAUAAGUACAGUUUUCUUCAAAGACACCAGCCAUCUUGCCGUAUAGUUCAUCUGAUACAGAAACAAUUCCAAAUUCAAGCUCUGGGUGAUACAAGUCAUGGAUUGUGAUGUGGCAAUAAGUUAUUGCACCUACCAAAUGUAGGCAAGAUUUGAACCAGAUUGCCCUAUGCUUAAAUAGAUUAAUCACGUUUUUUCAGAUAAUUUUAUUAUUCUCUCUUACUUUUGCAUAGAUGAUUAAAAAUAAAUAAAUAGAGAUCUUACGUAUACAGUAUGGGCAUAAUGCUAAGCAAUAUAUGUGUGUAUGUCUAUAUACAAGUAUGUGUGUGACUCUAUAGUCUUUAUUAAAACAUAUUUCUCCUCUCUUGCAUUUGAAGGAUGGACAAAGGAGAAGAAGAUAAACAGGAAAAUGCAAAAGUAAGUGAUUUUCUAAUUGGCCUACCUUUACCUAAAACAGAAAAAAAUAGAAUUAAGAGUAAUUACAAAAGCAGCACUAGGGAACUCUUUUUCCCUCUUCCUCAAAAAAAAAAAAAAAAAUGGGGAAAGGUUAGCUAACAGGACCUUGAUAAUUCUUACUACUCUCUUUUAAACUAGAAAGAGUCCCAAAGAAUUAAUGAGCAGCACCAGUGAAAACUAAAGUAAAAUCCUUGAAAUAAGAGAUCUUAGUAAGGAAGGAGCACCUCACUGAUUUCCAGGGCACUGUGUUCUCAGGGAAUGGGUGCAGAAGCUUUGAGUAUCCUACCACAAGAGCAAAUUCUAAUACAAGACAAUUAACAGUAUAUCAGAAGUGAGAAUAGAGUAUAUAUUUUCCAGAAAUAUUUUAAGCAGACAUACAGAAGCCAAGCUCUCCAAUCUAGAAGAUAAGAAAAAAAAAAAAAGAUUCAGAUACUGUAGGAAAUGGGAUCAAACGGAAUUCACCCACUUCAUGUUGGGAAAAAAAAAAAAAAAGGACAUAAUUCAAGCUACUGGUUUCUCCUGGAAAAAGAAGAAUGGCAUACAUAGCAAGAUGAUUAUAUAAAUAUCACAUAUUAAAAAGAAUAAGAUAGAUUUUUCUUUUGGAAGUGCCCUUUGGCUCUAUCCAGGUUUGGCUUUAUAAACUUUUAUUACAAGUUCUUUUCAAGAUGUGGCCCUGCCUUCCUGACUGAGGAUGAAGCCCUUGGUGUUUAGCAUCCUCCUGUCUGUCUUCUCACCAGACCAUGAUUAUUUUUUUUCUCCCUGUACAGAACAACCCUUUGUCUCCAGCUUAAACAAAGGCAAUGGUGGUCCACCAAGGUAUCAUCUUUUCUCCUGGAGUAGGAAAGGUGGAAGAUCACCCAGAUCUUUCAACAGACUCCAUCAGUUCUCUCACAUCUGCUCAGAUGUCUGUUACUCAUCUCUACCAGUUCUACUAGCUGUUGUACAAGAAUGAAAUAUAUUACUCUAUGUUUAUGCCAUCAAAUCACAGAAGUACUUGAAUAAGGAAAUGUAAUUAUCUGAUUGACUUAGUGAUAUUGUCCAAACUUCCAUUUAAAACAAAAAAACAAAAAACAAAAUAAAGAAAAAAACCCAGAGGACCAUUUGCUUAUGGGCCUGAUAUUCUGUGAUAACAGCAUAUGGUGAUCCAGGGGACAUUAUGCAAGCCAUUAACAAAGCUCCAUGAAACACUUUACAAAAUAUUUUUGAAAUGAAAAUUAAUGGGUAGUCUUUUCUGAGUGCUCUUUCAUAGUUCAAUGCAGCUGGAUGAGAUUCAUUUGUGAGGAGAAUUUUUGUUUAUAUUGUUUUGGACUUCAUUAAACAAAAAUAUUGAAAAACUGCUAGCUAGAGCUGAUGCAAAGGAACACAAAAGCAAAAACUGCUACACACUUUAUCUCAAAAUGCAUUUGGAUGUGGAUGAUUUACAUGAAAUAUCAACACCCCUGCUGCCAUGACCACCACCACCAAAACACACAAACGGCAGCAAGAACAAAACAUAAGAAUAAACAAACAAAUAAAUAAAGCCCACCCACAGACAGAAUCUGCAAAAAUAGUUUCAAGAAAUACAGUCAUUUUCAGAAGGAAGAAAGAAAAAGAAACAAAGACGGAAGAGGGGGAGAAAAAAGGGAGGAAGGAAGGGAAAGAAAUAAAUUUUGGCUUAUUCUGAAUAGAUUAAGAAUUAAACUAAGGAUAUUUCAAAGGCUGCUACUUCAUGUGCAAAGACAUAUAUAUAUUUCUGUAUAUUUUAACCAACAAACAGCAUACUUAUAAAUACAGCACAUGAUUUUCUUGCCCAGAAUUUUAACAGGUUUCUAAAUUCAAAACAGAAUUUUCAUUAUUUUUAUACAGAAAUUCCUUCCUAGGAUCUAGACAUACUUUUUAAAAUGUUACUUUAAAAAUUGUUUUCAGAGAUUAGCUAUAACAGAAAUCAUAAAUGUAUGUGUAUUACAUUUCCUAGAAAAUUUUGAGCUCUUUGAAAUGGGGUUAAGCUUUAAUGAGGUGCUUGGUCCAUUUUUUCCCCUAUGUAGGCUACUAAUUAAGCUUUAAAUGAUAUUCUUUGACUCAUAUCUAUCACAUAUUUGAAAAUUAAUAUCUUCUUUUCCAUUUUUCUUUUCUUGGUCCUCCAAUUAUUUGAAGGUGCAAAAUUCCUAAUUGCCAGACCAUAUUUACAUACUAAUAUUCCCACCCCUUUUCACACCUCUGCUUUAGUCUUAAAUCUACAACUAAACGUAUUUGGUGUUUACCAUCAAUCCUUUUAUCAAUAUUUAACUAAUUACCACCAAGCUGGAAAAAGCUCAGCCCCUGGUGAGUAUAGAAUUCUCUAAGUUCUUUCAAGUUGAAUAUAUUUUUAAUAACCUUGACACAUGAAAGACAGGUUGGCUCACACAGUUUUUCCUUUGUAAUUUUUGAAAACAGGGUUCCAUUGCUGUUUUGUUUUGAAUACUGUUGUGGAGAAAGGUGAUGACAAACUAAUUUCUCUUUUUGGGGGGAAGUUAACUUGAUCUUUUUGCUUGUAAAUUCAGAGGACUUAUAAAAAAUAUCCAUAAGGGCAUUUAUUUUUUCAGGGGUAUAUCUACAGGUUAAUGAAAUAUGUCCUUUCAAUAAUCAACUGAAGAUCUUUUAUUUCUGAAAAGCCCUCUUGAGUUACAGUCUUAAUAAUUUAUGUUCCUAUGUCGAGUUUUCUUUCCAGAGAGUUUUUGUUGUUGUUGUUUUUGUUUUUUUUUUUUUUUGUUUUUUUUUUUUUUUUUUUUUUAGGGACACUCCCAUGUCAGAUGGAGGUUCCCAGGAUGGGGGUCAGAAUCGGAGCUGUAGCUGCUGGCCUACACCACAGCAACACCAGAUCCAUCCCAGCCACAUCUGCAACCUACACCACAGCUCAUGGCAAUGCCAGAUCCUUAACCCACUGAGCAAGGCCAGGGAUCAAAUUUGGGUCCUCACGGAUACUAGCUUGAUUCAUUUCCAGUGAGCCAUGACAGGGACUUCAUAGAGAUUCUAAUUUUAAGAAAUCUGUAUCUCCUUAAAUAAUUAUAUAUAUCAUGUUUUUCUCUGAUUAUUUUUAGCUCUUAAUUUUGUUUCUGUUUUUUGGCUCUUGCAUUGCUCUCUACACAUACUCGCCGUCAAUGUCCCUUAUAAAUAACACUCAUGAGGAGUUCCCAUCCUGGCGCAGUGGUUAAUGAAUUCAACUAGGAACCAUGAGGUUGCAGGUUCGAUCCCUGGCCUUGCUCAGCGGGUCCAGGAUCUGGCGUUGACAUGAGCUAUGGUAUAGGUUACAGACGUGGCUCGGAUCCUGCGUUGCUGUGGCUCUGGCUUAGGCCAGCAGCAAUAGCUCAGGUUAGACCCCUAGCCUGGGAACCUCCAUAUGCACGGGAGUGGCCCUAGAAAAGGCAAAAAGAGACAAAAAAAAACAAAACAAAACAAAACAAAAAACAAAAAAAACAAAUAACACUCAUGAGAAUCUAUUCUUCCUUAUGUACUUUUCAGUCGAAUCUUAUUAUUGAAGUCUUUUAUUCUUCUUCCUUUUUUUUUUCUUUCUUUGCUAACCUACUCAACUCUGAUCUCAAUUCAUUUAUGUUUAGUCCAUUUCUAUCUUUUUGUCUUCUUUUUGGGCAGCCCCUAGGCAUAAGGAGUUCC
rnacentral:lncRNA from 1 species